rnacentral:rRNA from 1 species
AACGCUAGCUACAGGCUUAACACAUGCAAGUCGAGGGGCAGCAUGGUCUUAGCUUGCUAAGGCCGAUGGCGACCGGCGCACGGGUGAGUAACACGUAUCCAACCUGCCGUCUACUCUUGGACAGCCUUCUGAAAGGAAGAUUAAUACAAGAUGGCAUCAUGAGUCCGCAUGUUCACAUGAUUAAAGGUAUUCCGGUAGACGAUGGGGAUGCGUUCCAUUAGAUAGUAGGCGGGGUAACGGCCCACCUAGUCUUCAAUGGAUAGGGGUUCUGAGAGGAAGGUCCCCCACAUUGGAUCUGAGACACGGUCCAAACUCCUACGGGAGGCAGCAGUGAGGAAUAUUGGUCAAUGGGCGAGAGCCUGAACCAGCCAAGUAGCGUGAAGGAUGACUGCCCUAUGGGUUGUAAACUUCUUUUAUAAAGGAAUAAAGUCGGGUAUGGAUACCCGUUUGCAUGUACUUUAUGAAUAAGGAUCGGCUAACUCCGUGCCAGCAGCCGCGGUAAUACGGAGGAUCCGAGCGUUAUCCGGAUUUAUUGGGUUUAAAGGGAGCGUAGAUGGAUGUUUAAGUCAGUUGUGAAAGUUUGCGGCUCAACCGUAAAAUUGCAGUUGAUACUGGAUAUCUUGAGUGCAGUUGAGGCAGGCGGAAUUCGUGGUGUAGCGGUGAGAUGCUUAGAUAUCACGAAGAACUCCGAUUG